AGACAGGCAUUACUGUCAAUAAAUUACUUAUAUGUACAUAAGUGCUGUGGGGCUGAGGGUGAAGUGAAUAUUGAAUGCUUAGAGGUGCAUAGGUGACAAGGGAAAAGAGGGUUUCAUAGGGGAAGGUCUUCUUGGAGAUGUGAUUUUAAUAAGGUUGUGAAGGAGGGGAGAGUGGUGGUGGUCUCUCAGCUGUGGAGGGAGAAGGAGUUCUGCGUCAGAGGAAAUCUCCCUCAAGCUCAGAGGACAGGGAUGAGGUAGAUGAGACUGGGUUGAAAUUGGUACUAAAACAUUGCCAGCGGGCCUGAUGUUUUUAAUGUACGACUAGCAGGGUAGGAGACUUGACUUGCCUCUCUCCCCAGUCUGUGUUGAAGAACUCUCCGGUUUUUCAAGCGGGCCUUCAGCACUGGCCAUUUGAAAGAAGUAAGUGGAGGAAAGGGUCUGGGAGAGGACAUUACAGGUUUCCAUCUUAGGCCGAUCCACUCAUCCGGGUCCCGGUCCAUGCCCGCUGCUGGUCGUUCUGAGAGACUUGGCAUGAGGUAAGCCUUUCUGGAUGUCCCUCUCCCCGCUGGGCCUUCUCUCUCUCUACAGGGCCUCUGACGGGCCGAGGAGGCCUGUCUUCUGACCCCACGUGCUCAGGGGGGAAAGGGCAGAAAAGGGUCUUAAACAAGAAUCUCUCUGGAGUAAAAGUAAGGGCCGGCAGCAUUUCUGAUGGCUGCUGCUUGGUCGUUGUUGCCGUUCCACAUCACACUGGGUCAAAGGGGCAGAUGCGGAAUCCUGGCUGGGAUUGUGUGUUCAUGUGUGUGUCCCGAAAAGCACCAAAGGCUCUAACCCCAGAGUGACCCUCCGUUUCCGGGGCCGAGGGUCACGGACAACGCUCUGGCGACGUCGACUGAGCUCAGCCCCUCUGAUGGACGACCCGGGAUGGCUCUCCCGACAUUCUGGAUCAUCGGUUGAAAAAGCCUCCGUCCUCCCAGAUUCUCCCACAGAGCCCUCCUGGUUUCCUGCUACCUGAGCCACUGCUGCAGUGCCCGGAGCCCCGAAGGAGGUAGGCAUAUGGUUGUUUCAUUUUUCCAGGAGGGUUUUGAGGAUGGAGAGAGCUGUGGGGUGUGUUGGGGGGGAAUGUCAGGGGAGAAGAAGUGACAGUCUGGUUGGAGAGAUGUGUUUGCCUUAUUCAAAUUUUGUGUCUAUGAUAUUAUGUUCCUGUUUUCUUUCCUUACCUGUAGCCAUUGUUGGUUUUCAGUGUGUGUGUUUGACAAAAGGCCCAAAUUUUGCAUCUUUACUCUGGGGCCUGGUCACAGUGUUAGACUUUAAGGGUGUCAUGCCACUCAGUUGAUGUGUGGGGAGGGAUGAAAACUGGCCCUGGAAACAGCUCUCUCCCUCCACUCCACCCCUUUCCUCCUCAUGACCUCAAGUAUUCAAGCAGUAGAUCCCUGGGAGGAAUCUGAAUUACAGUACCAAGCUUCUUUAGGAAGCCUGUUCUGAAAAACUUUGGAAGAUGAGUAAUCCCCUGAGGCUGGGGCUGCUCGUUAGGGACUGGCAGCAGAGCCCAGAAUCCUGAGUUGGCAUCCCCCACCCUCCUCACCAGGCCUGUUACCAAUUAGCAGUUGGUUCAGAUGCUGCCCUGGCUUUGUUUUCCUUUUUCUGAAUGAGAAGAUCCCAUCGCCUGGCCUUUUUUACUUCUGAGUCAGGUGAAGCCGGGAGGGGGAAAGCUCAGAAACCUUCAGCACUUUCCCCCUUUAGAUGAUGAACUCUCCAGCUCAGAGAUGUCAUGGGUCAGACCAGAAAAUACCCAGCUUCCACCAGGACCGGGGAUCUGACACUCCUCUCGCGGGAUGACCGGGGCUCCUGUCAAGAUGUUGCUUUUGCACUUGUUUUUGAAAAAACAAAAUAAGGUCAUCGGAGCCGGCACCUCCAGCACGACAGCUGCCACCCAAAGAAGAGUGAGAAAAGACCUUUGGCCGGGGACUCAGGUGUAGCGGCUGAACAUGCCCAUUUGUAGCCCGGAACAGGCAGGAGGACUACCUGCCCCCGGCUCGGGCAAGGCAACACAACUGGAAACAGUCCAGCGGGGAUGUGGAAAUGACCGCCCGCCGGGACAAAGUGACGCACCUACCGACUGCAUCCUCCGAAUCUUUAAACCCAGAGGAUCGAGCCUGGACGGAGGGACCGGAACCUCGCUUGAGAGGACCAGGCUGGCCUGUACCGCUGAAUCGGCCUCCUCGCUGACCUCCUGGUUUCCAGCCUCUCCCUUCUCCAGGACUGGCCCAGGAGGGAAUCAUCGGAUGAGGUGUCUACCUGUUUGCACCGCCGCUUCCUAUCCGGCUCCCGGAGACGCCUCCUUACCAGGCUGUGUCGCUGAGCACCGCCAUGACUUCGUCCGCGACGGCUGCGUCCACGACGUCGCUGUAGGACUGGCCUUCCUCUCCUGGAUUCCCAACUCUACCUGCGUGAGCCAGCCAAGUGGACUUCCUCUGGACACUGGAAAGAAAGAAGCUGAGACAACACUCGGAAACCUCUGCUGACACCUGAAACUCUUUCCCCUGGUUUCUGCACCCCCACUACAGGUCCAUCUGUAAUUCCUUUUACUGUCUCCUGCUCUACUCUGGAAGCUUCUGCUGGGCAGGAAUCCAGUCUGCCAACUCUAUUACAGUGACUCUCCCAAGCGCUUAGUACAGUGCUCUGCACCCAGUAAGCCCUCAAUAAAUCCCACCAGUGGACUGAUUGCAAUAUGAAGGUAGGACAUGCUUUUUUUGUGUUCCAAUAAGAACAACCCUCUCCAUCACCAAUGGUAUUUAUUGAGUGCUUAUUGUGAGCAAAGCACUGUACUAAGCACUUGCGAGAGAGUACAAUACAACAGAAUGUUGAUAGAGACAUUUCCAGCUUACAGUCUCUCCUCACUGUGAGCCCCAGGUGGGACAGGGAUUGUGUCCAACCUAAGUUCUUAACAAAUGCUGUAAUAAUAAUAUUGAAAAUCCCAGUGUCUAAUAAAAAAUCCACUAUCUUGAGUCCACUUCAAAUCCCCAUGAGGCGGUGUGGCCAAAUGGGAAGAACCCAGACCUGGGAAUCAUGAGGCCUGGGUUCUAGUUUCAGCUUUGCCCCAUCUCUGUGACCUCAUGCAAGUCACUUACCUGCUCGGUGCCUCAGUUGUCCCAUCUGUCAAAUGGCUCUAAUAAGGUCAGCCUCUCUGACCUUCCUGUGGAUGCUGUGUAAUUGACCUGUGGAGACUCUGGGGCAUUUAUGCCCUCUACAGAUUCUUCUGGCACAAAAGAAAUAAAGUUUCAGACUCACACGGCAA